UGUUUGGGAGCAGCUUAUUGAUGUCCUGAUGCAGGUGCAUAAUGUUUGGGAGAAGAUUAUUGAUGUCCUGUUGCUGGUUUAUAAUGUUUGGGAGCANNNNNNNNNNUAAAUUUCCUGAUGCAGGUUUAAAAUGUUUGCGAGCAGCUUAUUGAUGUCCUGAUGCAGGUUCAUAAUGUUUGGGAGCAGAUUAUUGAUGUCCCGAUGCAGGUUUAUAAUGUUUGGGAGCAGAUUAUUGAUGUCCUGAUGCAGGUUUUAAUGUCUGGGAGCAGAAUGUUGUUGUCCUGAUGCAGGUUUAUAAUGUUAGGGAGCAGUGUAUUGAUGUUCUGAUUUAGGUUUAAAAUGUUUGGGAGCAGCUUAUUGAUGUCCUGAUGCAGGUUUAUGUUUGGGAGCAGCUUAUUGAUGUCCUGAUGCAGGUGCAUAAUGUUUGGGAGAAGAUUAUUGAUGUCCUGUUGCUGGUUUAUAAUGUUUGGGAGCAGNNNNNNNNNNUCCUGAUGCAGGUUUAUAAUGUUUGGGAUCAGCUUAUUGAUGUCCUGAUUCAGGUUUAUAAUGUUUAUGAGCAGCUUUGAAGAUUUGAAAGAAAAUGUGCCUUUAUUAAAAACUGCAAAGCCUAUAACCCGCGAUGGGAUUGAAUCGUGGUCCUAGUUUUUCAACACUUACACCCCAAUGUGUUGAGCAGUUUUUAUCCAAUGGCCUAAAGUGCUACUCUCCUUCCUUUUUUGUCAUGUUAAUACCACUGAACAUGUUUUUCCUGCUGUACAAUCUCAAAAGUAUAACAUUAGCAGAAUGUAAUUUAGGGACCAACCUUGUGUAAAACACCCCAAAGGACUGUGAAGGAAAUUUUACUUUGUGAAGAAACAGUCUUGAAAAUGUUCAUCUUGACUUUGGUGUCCUAAACAAUCCUUGGUUCCUGCCUGAGCCUGGUAAAGAUAUGAGGGGGGGGCGUCAUAACCUCCUCCUUUGGAUCAUCUGGCAGAACAUCCAGAAUAUGUUCUAUAAGUUAAGAUAGGAGACGGAGCCAGACAUGCCGGAACCAACCAUAUGAACUAUGUCUAUGUAACGUGUCUGUAACCAAUAUAUAAGAGAACUAAUGGGACAGCCCCGUCGGAGCUCCUGAUCGAUAUGUGCACUUUUGUGUAUUGAGUUGGUUGGAACCUCUCCAACGCGCUGACAAUAAAGGAUGAUUCAUUUAAUAUUGACUUUGAGUGUCCCUGUGUAGUAUUUCCACGACAGGACUAACAAAAUCAGUGUCAGUUUCCCAGACACAGAUUAGGCAUAGUCCUGGAUUUAAAAUAACUUCAGAUGAAGAUGAUCUAUUUAGCUUUUUUGUCCAGGACUAUGCUUAAUCUGUGUCUGAAAGAAAAUGCCCCAUAAAGCAUGUCAUGCACUGACCUCUGCUUUAUAUUAGAAUAAGAUAGUAAGUAUUAACGCAUGUCAGAUUUUCAACACAGGUUUUAUUGAUUGGGUGGUGAGGGUUGGCGUGGGCAGAUCCCUCCGGAGGCACCAGUAAUAUAAAACAAAGAGAAGAGAGAAAGCAUGCUAUAAUACAGGGAAAAAAUAUAAUGAGCCAAUAAAUAAAAUAAAAGUACAAAAAAAUACGUUCUGUUACAUUUUUUGUUUGAAUUACUUUUUUUUGUUGACAAAUGGUAGAAGCCUCAAACCUUAACUAAGGAAGAUUUUAGACCAGGGCUAAGCGAGUGUUCACAAUGCCUAGAGUGCUCACCGUCCAAUCACAAAAGCUACACUGUCACCUAAUUUACAUAUGCUCGUGAUGACUGUGAUGCAUUCAUACUUUCAUCCUUCCAACCAAAAUAAUUUAUUCUGUUCAAAAACAUUGGUUGCUAUGACUCUCAAAAAUAGCUGCUAUGCAAGCUGACUAAUGUCGUCUCAUUAAAAUCCUACUGAAGUUACAAAAACUCUACAGCUGGAAUGGGAGAAAAUGCAUAGAAUUCAAAUAGCCUAGUAAUAAUUUUAUAGGAUCUCUAUGAGCAGACACUACAUGUUUGUCUGUUUCCAUAGCUUUUCCAUUGAGAUUUAAUUGGAUUCAGAGAUUCAGAAAACAUGCAUAGCAUUCUUUUUAAAGGGGAGAGAUCGAAUUUCAAAAGGUCAGACAGGCAGACAGCAAGGUUUAUGCAAUCCAUCACUGUUGGAAAGCAAAUGCUAGACUAGAAGCAAGGGGACAUAAUGUGUUGAUAAAUGUCAAUGCUUAUAACAUUGGUCGCAUGUUGUGUUUGUCCGUUAGCUCAGGGCUUUGCAAAGUGUGAAUCCUUAGCCCAGGGCUAAAGCUUACCUCAGGGUUAAACUGAAGAG
rnacentral:lncRNA from 13 species